AUGACCGCGGAUCAGGUGAGGAUACCCGCUGAAUUUAAGCAUAUUAAUAAGCGGAGGAAAAGAAACCAACAGGGAUUGCCUUCAGUAGCGGCGAGUGAAGCGGCAACAGCUCACAUU
rnacentral:rRNA from 1 species